GAUGAACGCUGGCGGCGUGCCUAAUACAUGCAAGUCGAGCGAACGGACGAGAAGCUUGCUUCUCUGAUGUUAGCGGCGGACGGGUGAGUAACACGUGGAUAACCUACCUAUAAGACUGGAAUAACUUCGGGAAACCGGAGCUAAUACCGGAUAAUAUUUUGAACCGCAUGGUUCAAAAGUGAAAGACGGUCUUGCUGUCACUUAUAGAUGGAUCCGCGCUGCAUUAGCUAGUUGGUAAGGUAACGGCUUACCAAGGCAACGAUGCAUAGCCGACCUGAGAGGGUGAUCGGCCACACUGGAACUGAGACACGGUCCAGACUCCUACGGGAGGCAGCAGUAGGGAAUCUUCCGCAAUGGGCGAAAGCCUGACGGAGCAACGCCGCGUGAGUGAUGAAGGUCUUCGGAUCGUAAAACUCUGUUAUUAGGGAAGAACAUAUGUGUAAGUAACUGUGCACAUCUUGACGGUACCUAAUCAGAAAGCCACGGCUAACUACGU
rnacentral:rRNA from 1 species